rnacentral:rRNA from 1 species
GAUGAACGCUGGCGGCGUGCCUAAUACAUGCAAGUCGAGCGAACGGACGAGAAGCUUGCUUCUCUGAUGUUAGCGGCGGACGGGUGAGUAACACGUGGAUAACCUACCUAUAAGACUGGGAUAACUUCGGGAAACCGGAGCUAAUACCGGAUGAUAUUUUGAACCGCAUGGUUCAAAAGUGAAAGACGGUCUUGCUGUCACUUAUAGAUGGAUCCGCGCUGCAUUAGCUAGUUGGUAAGGUAACGGCUUACCAAGGCAACGAUGCAUAGCCGACCUGAGAGGGUGAUCGGCCACACUGGAACGGAGGCACGGUCCAGACCCCUACGGGGGGCAGAGGGGGGGAAUUUUCCGCAAUGGGGGAAAGCCUGACGGAGCAACGCCGGGUGAGGGAUGAAGGUCUUCGGAUGGUAAAAUGCUUUUAUUGGGGAAGAAAAUUUUUUUAAGUAACUGGGAAAAUUUUGACGGUACCUAAACAAAAAGCCCCGGCUAACUACGU